GACGAACGCUGGCGGCGUGCUUAACACAUGCAAGUCGAACGGAAAGGCCCUGCUUGCAGGGUACUCGAGUGGCGAACGGGUGAGUAACACGUGGGUGAUCUGCCCUGCACUUCGGGAUAAGCCUGGGAAACUGGGUCUAACACCGGAUAGGAGCCAUUUUUAGUGUGAUGGUUGGAAAGUUUUUUCGGUGUAGGAUGAGCUCGCGGCCUAUCAGCUUGUUGGUGGGGUAAUGGCCUACCAAGGCGGCGACGGGUAGCCGGCCUGAAAGGGUGGACGGCCACAUUGGGACUGAGAUACGGCCCAGACUCCUACGGGAGGCAGCAGUGGGGAAUAUUGCACAAUGGGCGCAAGCCUGAUGCAGCGACGCCGCGUGGGGGAUGACGGCCUUCGGGUUGUAAACUCCUUUCGCUAGGGACGAAGCUUUUUGUGACGGUACCUAGAUAAGAAGCACCGGCUAACUACGUG
rnacentral:rRNA from 1 species